rnacentral:rRNA from 1 species
UGUGUAACGCGUGAGCAACCUUUCCCAGACAGGGGAAUAACACACCGAAAGGUGUACUAAUACCGCAUAAGACCACGGGAUCACAUGGUUCUGGGGUAAAAGAUUUAUCGGUUUGGGGUGGGCUCGCGUCCGAUUAGGUAGUUGGUGAGGUAACGGCCCACCAAGCCGACGAUCGGUAGCCGACCUGAGAGGGUGAUCGGCCACAUUGGGACUGAGACACGGCCCAAACUCCUACGGGAGGCAGCAGUGGGGAAUAUUGGGCAAUGGGGGGAACCCUGACCCAGCAACGCCGCGUGGAGGAAGAAGGUUUUCGGAUCGUAAACUCCUGUCCUUGGAGACGAGUAGAAGACGGUAUCCAAGGAGGAAGCCCCGGCUAACUACGUGCCAGCAGCCGCGGUAAUACGUAGGGGGCAAGCGUUGUCCGGAAUAAUUGGGCGUAAAGGGCGCGUAGGCGGCUCGGUAAGUCUGGAGUGAAAGUCCUGCUUUUAAGGUGGGAAUUGCUUUGGAUACUGUCGGGCUUGAGUGCAGGAGAGGUUAGUGGAAUUCCCAGUGUAGCGGUGAAAUGCGUAGAGAUUGGGAGGAACACCAGUGGCGAAGGCGACUAACUGGACUGUAACUGACGCUGAGGCGCGAAAGUGUGGGGAGCAAACAGGAUUAGAUACCCUGGUAGUCCACACUGUAAACGAUGAAUGCUAGGUGUAGGGGGUAUCGACCC